AUUGAACGCUGGCGGCAGGCCUAACACAUGCAAGUCGAACGGUAGCACAGAGAGCUUGCUCUCGGGUGACGAGUGGCGGACGGGUGAGUAACGUCUGGGAAACUGCCCGAUGGAGGGGGAUAACUACUGGAAACGGUAGCUAAUACCGCAUAACGUCGCAAGACCAAAGUGGGGGACCUUCGGGCCUCACACCAUCGGAGGGGCCCAGAUGGGAUUAGCUAGUAGGUGGGGUAAUGGCUCACCUAGGCGACGAUCCCUAGCUGGUCUGAGAGGAUGACCAGCCACACUGGAACUGAGACACGGUCCAGACUUCUACGGGAGGCAGCAGUGGGGAAUAUUGCACAAUGGGCGCAAGCCUGAUGCAGCCAUGCCGCGUGUAUGAAGAAGGCCUUCGGGUUGUAAAGUACUUUCAGCGGGGAGGAAGGCGGUGAAGUUAAUAACUUCACCGAUUGACGUUACCCGCAGAAGAAGCACCGGCUAACUCCGUGCCAGCCGCCGCCGUAA
rnacentral:rRNA from 1 species